GAUGAACGCUAGCGGCAGGCUCAAUACAUGCAAGUCAAGGGGUAGCAAGAUUGUAGCAAUACAAUUGUUGACGACCGGCAAACGGGUGCGGAACACGUACACAACCUUCCUACAAGUGGGGAAUAGCCCAGAGAAAUUUGGAUUAAUACCCCGUAACAUAGCGAUGUGGCAUCACAUUGCUAUUAUAGCUUCGGCGCUUGUUGAUGGGUGUGCGGCUGAUUAGAUAGUUGGCGGGGUAACGGCCCACCAAGUCUACGAUCAGUAGCUGAUGUGAGAGCAUGAUCAGCCACACGGGCACUGGGACACGGGCCCGACUCCUACGGGAGGCAGCAGUAAGGAAUAUUGGACAAUGGGCGCAAGUCUGAUCCAGCCAUGCCGCGUGAAGGAUUAAGGUCCUCUGGAUUGUAAACUUCUUUUAUAAGGGACGAAAAAAGGUCUUUCUAGAUCGUCCGACGGUACCUUAUGAAUAAGCACCGGCUAACUCCGUGCCAGCCGCCGCGGUAAAAC
rnacentral:rRNA from 1 species